AUACGCUAAACAUACUUAUUGGUGUUCAAUCGGUAUAUGUAAAUUUAAAGGUACAUACAAUAAUCUAGAAACACAUUUGAGGCAAUGUCACACGGAUAAUUUUUCAGAGGGACAUCAGCUGUCUCAAAUUUUUCCUAUAAGAUCUACAAUAAUGACAGCUACAUUGCCAAACGAUUUUGACUUUGUAUUUUUAGUAAAAGACAGAGGCUUGGUUUUUUUAAAUUACACUAUACGCAGCAACGGCCGUUUAAAAUGUAGCGUGCAACAAAUAUCCAGUUUGGAUUCACCUGUCCUACUUCAUUAUGAUUUCACAGUUGGAGUUGGUACACUCCGUUUCCAGCGCCAUGGAGUGGUGAAGUUACGCCAACCAUCCCAAGCAACCAACUAUGACUUCUGUAUUCAAUGCAGUGUAAUGCAACCUAUGAUAAAGGGG